UACGUAGGGGGCAAGCGUUGUCCGGAAUCAUUGGGCGUAAAGCGCGUGUAGGCGGUCCGGUAAGUCCGCUGUGAAAGUCGGGGGCUCAACCCUGGGAUGCCGGUGGAUACUGUCGGGCUAGAGUACGGAAGAGGCGAGUGGAAUUCCCGGUGUAGCGGUGAAAUGCGCAGAUAUCGGGAGGAACACCAAUUGCGAAGGCAGCUCGCUGGGACGUCACUGACGCUGAGACGCGAAAGCGUGGGGAGCAAACAGG
rnacentral:rRNA from 1 species